GCUCAGGGCCCGGACCCCCCAGCGCUGGUACCAGGUCCCUGUGUCUGACUGGAUUUCAAUCAACUCAUCCUCCUGAUGAAUUGUCUUAAUGAAGAAGCGGGGGCUCUCAGGCUGUGUGGUCAGAGCUCCGAUGGCAAACACAGAAGGGAAGGCGCAGACGAGGACAAAAACCCUCCAGCUGUGGAACUGAGUUGGAAUAACUCUAAAAAUCAAUCUACUCCAAACUCUGCAUUUUACCCAUGCUUCAGCCAAGCCCCAAGGAGUGGGGAUCUCCCCAACAUCUCAUGGCAACUUGGGAGCAGUGCAAGACCAAGAGACCUUUUGUGGGGAAAAGGAGCAAGAUGACAGAAGGGAAGUCUCUGAAGAAACACCCAACAGGGGCCCAUCCCACCAUGGCCACCUCCUGCAGAACUAACUAAGCAGACCACCCAGCCACUGCCCCAAGCCCCAGCCCAGCUGCCCUUCCCCAAGCCUCUCUUGCACAAACAACCUCACUGUGACCCAACCCCAAGAGGAGGGUUUGUGAGGGAUGAGCAUGCAGAGGAACUCCACGCCCUCUGGGGACAUUUUGGGAUCGGGGUCCUAGGGAGCGGUAAGGACAGGGGUUCUCAGGAGCAGAGGUUUUUCUAGAGUUUGGGGCAGGACAGGGCUGGAGGGCCCCCCAGUGUGUCUUACCUAGCAUGCCUUUGUUGGAGUCCGACAGGCACAUGUCUUUCUCGGCGCUAGGCAGCACAAAGCCCACCACAAAGACCUCGACACCAUCAGCCAUCAGUGCCAGACCAAGCACGAAAUAGAGUGUCCACUGGAAGCGGCCAUGGCCACACUCCCGUAGGAUGGCUUCAUACUGCUGAGCCAGUUCUUCCCGUUCUUUCCGCCGCUGUGCCUCCCCCCGGCCACCAGGGGGGCCCUCCCCAUCGCCCAAGCCCCCCCUUACUCCAGCCAGAGGAGCCCCAUCAGCCAUCCGCUCGCCUUUGCCCCCAGACUCUGCCCUGGGGAUGCCCUGAUAUUCCCCCUCGUAGAUCUCGUCAUCCUCGUCGUGGCCUUCAGUAGCAUCACUAGAUGCACCACCUUCUUCCUCAUCCUGGGCCCCUUCCCCACGGUAAUAGCCAUCAGCAGGGGCAGGGUAGUCAUCAUCAUCCUCCUCCUCCUCAAAGCGGGAGUAGGAUCUGCGGGAAUAUUCGUCCUGGACUCUGUCCAGGCCCUUUACCACCUUCUUGGCCGCAUGCUUCUUGACUUCCUUGGCAAUGUCUUUGGCCCCACGGAUGAAAGCUGCCCGGUCUCUGAAGCCUUCUUCCAUGAUGGGUCUUUGGGAAUGCUUCACUAGACUCCUCCACUCCCUGCUCAAGGACUUGUGAAGUCAGAAAGAUUCCUUCCCCCAGUUACUCAGAUGAAGUGGAUUCAAGUAUCUCUGGGCACAGAAUAGGAGCAAAUAGGACCUGGCCAGUGAGUAUGUAGGAAGGGAAAGGAGGGAGAGGAGUUCUGGCCAGUUCAGUUGGAUACAUGGGGAAGGGAAAAGGGGAACAGCAGAAUGGGAAGGGGAGGGGGAGCUAGGUUGUGCAAGCUAAGAUGGGGAGCCAGGAUAACUCAGGAAAGGCCGCCUACUUCUCUUCAAGAAGCCUCUUGAGAUCUAGAAAAUAUAAGAGGGGGGGGGGGGAAAGGAGGUGGUGAGGCCUAAAAUGGUAAAGAAAGCCAAUACAGAGCCCCAACCAAGACCAUGUGAUACGGAUGGUCUCCUUGCUUCAAGCCUGCACACAGUUAAAAAGGGAUGCCUACCUGGGCCAGCUGUGGAUCAUUCAGUAUAAAUCCCCUCACUUUGACCUUGGAGAUCAGGCCUAUGAGAUAUGCUCCAGAGUCACGGUCACCUAUCUAGAGGCCUCCUUCUGAUCCCCUGCCCCACAUCAAGAUCAGACCCCUUGCUUUACCACCAAACUGCAAAGAACAAAACAGGAAAUAUGAGAAACCAUAAUUCUCUGUUUUAGUCUGGUCUGGCUUGCUUACUGGGGGAAGAGCUGGGGGGAGAAUGUGUAAAAGGAGAAUCAAGUCCUCCAGCCUGUGACUUCAGUCCACUGAUGGCAUCUCAAAUGGGGCUCUCGGGGUCCUCCCCUCGGGUUCCCACAAGGAAGGGUUUUCUCAGUGGGUGAAAAUUCCCUUCCAGGGUCAGACAGACUUGGGUUUGACUUCUUGCUUCAGCACUUACUAGCUAAGUGACCUCGGCCAUCUCCCCAUACAGCCAGGCCUCAGUUUCCUCUUAUUUAAGAAGGGGAAAGUAAGGAUUAAAUGACAUAAUGUGUAUAACUCCUUACCAUAGUACCUAGCACAUAAAAAGCGAUUAAGAAAUGUUGGUUAUUGUUCUUUGUGAUGAUAAUAAUACAGUGCGAUCCCCUCUACUCCCUCACAAGACCCCAGAACAAAAGCCACGUCUGGAUGCUUAUGAGGAUAAGGAGCAGAAAGGGAUACUGGCAAGGGAAAGCUGGUUCAAUGCAAAGCACAUGACAGUUAGGUGACCUAAGUUAAAAUCCCAGCUCUGUCACUUACUUGCUAACCGCUCUUGGGCAAAUUAUUUAAUUUCCCUCAACCUCAGUGUCCUUAUAUUUAAACUGGGGGUAAUAAUCUUUAGUUUUCUGAGUCCACAAGAGAAUCCAACCUCACAGUAGAUAGUCUAUAAAUUAGUUUCCUUCCUUCCUAUUAGACUGAAAACAAUGUGAAAGAAACAGGAAGCAGCAAGGGAAGAGUAGGGGUCAUACUUGGAUGCUGUUGUCCAGUAUCCUCCCAAAACAGAGUCCCAAGACCUCUCUGUGUUCAAAUUAGUUCCAGCAGAUGGGCCCACAUUGUCUCCCUCCAGACAAAGAAGGGAAGACUCAAAAAAAGGGAAACCUGGAACCUGAGGUCAUGGAGAAGAGGUGAUGUCUGGCUCCUGCCACCUUCUUUCAGGACAUCAUCCAUGAGCCCCUUCCCUGGUGGAGGCAGGAACAGACAUGGCUGAUCAAAUACAUACUUUUUCAGCAUUGGGGGCUAAGGUCUAUAGCUACACCUCCUUUCUCCAGGGCCUUCUUUCCUAAUCCCCCUUAAUCCUUUCUGCUCCUCCUCCAGGAGUCAAGGAAAAAGGAGUCCACAAAUACCGCACUGCGUAGGAGGCCAGUAUAGAAUGAAGGGGGCCUUGGGCCUCCCCCCCAAAAAAGACAUCCUCCAGAGGGAAACAUAGGAGAACACCCCCCA